ensembl:lncRNA
GGGACCUGAGCACACACACAAUCUUUAAAAAUUUUUUAGAUGUAAUGCAAAUAACUAUACCUAACAUUCUUUCAGAAAACAAAAGAAAUGCAAAACAUGCUCAAAAAACAAGAAAUCAAGUUAUACUUUUCAUAAGGCACCACCAAAAUCCCUGGUAAAUUAGAGUCCAUAUUAUAUUUAAGUGUGUCACUAACAGGUAAAUAAACAUGUAAGAGAAUAAUCAAUAGGUCUUGAGGCUUACAAAAGACAUUCCUGUUUAGACAUCUUGGAGUAUUGCAAAAGUAAGAAUAAGCAGGACACAUCUUUAAAAACCCGUCACAUCCUUUCCCAGUGCACAUCAUUCAUUGCAUAGUGGUGACUGGAUACGAUCCAGACCAAGAGAAGACUAGAAUUCCAAAAUAUAUUAAUAUCCAUUCUUUCCUUCUCAUGCUGUAAAUACUAAAUGCCACGGCACAUCCACAUCCAAAGUAAUGAUAUGCCUUAAUUAAAAACAAAAAAAAAAGUGGGAUUUCAAAAGGUAAAAGGCAAACCAAUUGCCUGCUUUUAAAAAUGUAGACUUAAGGACAUACUGCAAAAGCAACUUUCUACACGCAUAUGAAGCUAGUUCAUAUGUGUACCUUUACUGAACCUGGUUACGUGUGGGUCUUUGCUUAAUUUUCCCCCAAUUUUCAAAUCCCCCUUCAAAUUGCCACUUUCUCCUUAAAAAGUGGAUAAUCCCUCGCUCUGAAAGAAGGGCUUUCUCAGUUUUCCCUUUCACCCUCCUACUUUAAGCACUGGCUGAUAUUCACACAAAUGUACUGUAGAAUUAAAAUAUUGCCAAGUAGGGAGUUUCUCUUACACCGACUGAAUUGCAUCAGAAUCUAAGAAUUAAGAGAAACAAACAAACUGGCAUUUCUUGGACGCGUGUCGAAGACAAAAGUAGCGAAGUGAGGCACAGGUGAAAUCGUUCUCGUCUCACGGGUCAGCCCUCGCCGGGGUCUUGAUUAUUCAAGUACAUCGCGGGCGACCCAGGUUUCACACCUGCCGUUUCAAUUAUCUGAAGCGUGACUUGCAGUAGCUGUUGUUCCAUGAUGCCCACGUGUGAGUCAGGAAGAGCUGGGAGGCAGCAGCUCGGGAAGGAGCCUGGCCCUGCGUCUCCACACAUCUCUGCAGGGUCACUACAGGCAGCGAGGCCAACCCCGGCUGCAGGGACCACAAGAGAGCUGUCGUUGCACUUGCGCGGUUCCAAGGACCUACUCUUGACCUACCAGUUUUCAUCUUCCUUCCUAUAACCUUUGCCAAAAUGGUUAUAAUGACGUGGUGAGAAAUACCUUUGAAAGAAUUAACGAAUAGUUAAAGAACGAGUGGUGCAGAACUGCGACUCUGAGGAGAUAGGAAGGGUUAAAGAAACAUUUUAAAUCAAGUUUUAAUAUGAAAUGUUACAACACCGCAGAAUGGAGUUACGUUAUAAAAUAAGUACUUUCCUCUAAGUGAAAAAACAUCGUCAUUUCUUUACAGAUGAAUCUUAGUUCACUAAUUACAAAAUUACACAUUUCCAUAUAUUUUUCUUUUCUCUUUCUUUUUUUAAACUGUCUCUCAUCUGUUCUCAACCUUUGGUCUAAAUGGUCAAAAGUCAGACCAAA